AUUGAACGCUAGCGGGAUGCUUUACACAUGCAAGUCGAACGGCAGCGCGGACUUCGGUCUGGCGGCGAGUGGCGAACGGGUGAGUAAUGUAUCGGAACGUGCCCAGUAGCGGGGGGAUAACUACGCGAAAGCGUGGCUAAUACCGCAUACGCCCUACGGGGGAAAGGGGGGGAGGUCUUCGGACCCCUCCACUAUUGGAGCGGCCGGAUAUCGGAUUAGCUAGUUGGUGGGGUAAAGGGCCUACCCAAGGCGACG
rnacentral:rRNA from 1 species